GCCAGCAUGGUGUAGUGGUUUGAGAGUCAGACUCUGACUCUGGAGAUCAGGGUUCAGUUCUCUGCUUGCC